rnacentral:rRNA from 1 species
AAUCGCGGUUAGACGAGAGGCCCUAGUUGAUUUCAUUACGGCGUAAAGGGUGGUUAGGGGAUUAAUAAAAUAAAGUCAAAUUACCCUUUAGCCGUCAUAAGCUUUUAGGGCCCCGAGGUCCAAUAUACGAAAGUAACUUUAAUUAUCUUUACCUGAACCCACGAAAACAGAGAAA